GCGGGUGUAGUCCAACGGUAGGACGCGGGCCUUCCAAGCCCUGAGGUGUCGGUUCGAAUCCGUCCUCCCGCUCCA
rnacentral:tRNA from 1 species